GCCUGGGUGGCUCAACCAGUUAAGCGUCUGACUUUGGCUCAGGUCAUGAUCUUGCAGUUCGUGGGUUUGAGCCCCGCAUCGGGCU
rnacentral:tRNA from 1 species